rnacentral:rRNA from 1 species
UACGUAGGGCGCAAGCGUUUGUCCGGAAUUAUUGGGCGUAAAGAGCUCGUAGGCGGCCUGUUGCGUCCGCUGUGAAAUCCCGGGGCUCAACCCCGGGCCUGCAGUGGAUACGGGCUGGCUGGAGGCAGGCAGGGGAGAACGGAAUCCUGGUGUAGCGGUGAAAUGCGCAGAUAUCAGGAGGAACACCGGUGGCGAAGGCGGUUCUCUGGGCCUGUUCUGACGCUGAGGAGCGAAAGCGUGGGGAGCGAACAGG